UACGGGGGGGGCAAGCGUUGUUCGGAAUUAUUGGGCGUAAAGAGCGUGUAGGCGGCCAGGUAGGUCAGCUGUGAAAACUCGAGGCUCAACCUCGAGACGCCGGUUGAAACCAUCUGGCUAGAGUUCGGUAGGGGAGACUGGAAUUCCUGGUGUAGCGGUGAAAUGCGCAGAUAUCAGGAGGAACACCGGUGGCGAAGGCGGGUCUCUGGGCCGAUACUGACGCUGAGGAGCGAAAGCGUGGGGAGCGAACAGG
rnacentral:rRNA from 1 species